rnacentral:rRNA from 1 species
GAUGAACGCUGGCGGUAUGCUUAACACAUGCAAGUCGAACGGACUCUUCGGAGUUAGUGGCGGACGGGUGAGUAACGCGUGAGAAUCUGGCUUUGGGUUCGGGACAACCACUGGAAACGGUGGCUAAUACCGGAUGUGCCGAGAGGUAAAAGAGAAAUUGCCUGAAGAUGAGCUCGCGUCUGAUUAGCUAGUUGGUGAGGUAAAGGCUCACCAAGGCAGCGAUCAGUAGCUGGUCUGAGAGGAUGACCGGCCACACUGGGACUGAGACACGGCCCAGACUCCUACGGGAGGAAGCAGUGGGGAAUUUUCCGCAAUGGGCGAAAGCCUGACGGAGCAAUACCGCGUGAGGGAAGAAGGCUCUUGGGGUGUAAACCUCUUUUCUUAGGGAAGAACAAAAUGACGGUACCUAAGGAAUCAGCAUCGGCUAACUCCGUG